rnacentral:lncRNA from 1 species
AAAAAAGGUUUAAAAUUUCCCUCUUGGGGUACCAUUUUGGGGUAUUUCCCUUUGAGCGUAGUCCAGGCGGUACAAAAUUGACAUUUUAAGGAAAAAGACAGGGAAAAUGAACUCUAAUUAAUAACAUUUGAUAAAUCAUGGUAUAUAAAUUACCAAUUUGAAGACAUAACAAGUUUAAAUUCAUAAAAGUUUGACCAUUGUUACUACACGUUGUCAUGGUUGUGACGUGACGUUGUAAGUAGGCGGGGCUUAUACGUGAGUUGAGGUCAUUGACGUAUAAAGCUAACGUUCAUACAUAUAGCUUUAUUUGUAUAGUAAAAUAGCUGAUUGCAGUAUAAAGAACUUUAAAGUACUGAAGCACAAAAGGUUGCAUGGUUAUCGUUCAAUCUCAAAUUGGUAAUGAAAGAUGCUAUUUUUGAUAUUAAAUAUGGUAGAUGGUUAACCUUUUGUGUUAAAACAUUG